ACAGCAGUCGCCACGGUAAUACGUAGGGUGCGAGCGUUAAUCGGAAUUACUGGGCGUAAAGCGUGCGCAGGCGGUUUGUUAAGUCUGUUGUGAAAUCCCCGGGCUCAACCUGGGAAUGGCAGUGGAUACUGGCUCGCUAGAGUGUGUCAGAGGAUGGUGGAAUUCCCGGUGUAGCGGUGAAAUGCGUAGAGAUCGGGAGGAACAUCAGUGGCGAAGGCGGCCAUCUGGGACAACACUGACGCUGAGGCACGAAAGCGUGGGGAGCAAACAGGAUUAGAGACCCCCGUAGUCCCUGUCUCUUAUAC
rnacentral:rRNA from 1 species